CUAAAUGCGGAAGAGAUAAGUGCUGAAAGCAUCUAAGCACGAAACUUGCCCCGAGAUGAGUUCUCCCUGAGACUUUAGGUCUCCUGAAGGAACGUUGAAGACGACGACGUUGAUAGGCCGGGUGUGUAAGCGCAGCGAUGCGUUGAGCUAACCGGUACUAAUGAACCGUGAGGCUUAACCUU
rnacentral:rRNA from 1 species